rnacentral:rRNA from 1 species
UACGGAGGGUGCAAGCGUUAUCCGGAUUUACUGGGUUUAAAGGGUGCGCAGGCGGAUAUGUAAGUCAGUGGUGAAAUCUCUGGGCUUAACCCGGAAAUUGCCCAUUGAUACUAUAUAUCUUGAAUGUUGUGAGGUAAGCGGAAUAUGUCAUGUAGCGGUGAAAAUGCUUAGAUAUGACAUAGAACACCUAUUGCGAAGGCAGCUUACUACGCAGAUAUUGACGCUCAUGCACGAAAGCGUGGGGAUCAAACAGG